rnacentral:misc_RNA from 1 species
GAUGAAGAACGUAGCGAAAUGCGAUAAGUAAUGUGAAUUGCAGAAUUCAGUGAAUCAUCGAAUCUUUGAACGCACAUUGCGCCCCCUGGUAUUCCGGGGGGCAUGCCUGUUCGAGCGUCAUUUCACCACUCAAGCCUCGCUUGGUAUUGGGCAACGCGGUCCGCCGCGUGCCUCAAAUCGACCGGCUGGGUCUUCUGUCCCCUAAGCGUUGUGGAAACUAUUCGCUAAAGGGUGUUCGGGAGGCUACGCCGUAAAACAACCCCAUUUCUAAGGUUGACCUCGGAUCAGGUAGGGAUACCCGCUGAACUUAAGCAUACCAAUAAGCGGAGGA